GAGUUUGAUCCUAGCUCAGAAGGAACGCUAGCUAUAUGCUUAACACAUGCAAGUCAAAUGUUGUUUUCGGGGAGCUGGGCAGAAGGAAAAGAGGCUCCUAGCUAAAGUUGUCUCGCCCUGCUUCAAAACUACAGGGCGCGCGCUACGGCUUUGACCUAAUGACCUCCAUUUGCUGGAAUCAGAAUAGUUGAGAACAAAGUGGCGAACGGGGGCGUAACGCGUGGGAAUCUGCCGAACGGUUCGGGCUGAAUCCUGAAGAAAGCUCAAAAGUGCUAUUUGAUGAGCCGGCGUAGUAUUAGGUAGUUGGUCAGGUAAAGGUUUACCAAGCCAAUGAUGCUUAGCUAGUCUUUUCGGAUGAUCAACCACACUGGGACUGAGACAUGGCCCGGACUCCCAUGGGGGGCAGCAGUGGGGAAUCUUGGACGAUGAGCGAAAGCCCGAUCCAGCAAUAUCGCGUGAGUGAAGAAGGGCAAUGCCGCUUGUAAAGCUCUUUCGUCGAGUGCGCGAUCAUGACAAGACUCGAGGAAGAAGCCCCAGCUAACUCCGUGCCAGCAGCUGCGGUAAGAUGGGGGAGGAGGGGGCAAGUGUUCUUCAGAAUGACUGGACGUAAAGGGCACGUAGGCGGUGAAUCAGGUUGAAAGUGGAAGUCGCCCAAAAGUGGCGGAAUGCUCUCGAAACCAAUUCACUUGAGUGAGACAGAGGAGAGUGGAAUUUCGUGUGUAGGGGUGAAAUCCGUAGAUCUACGAAGGAACGCCAAAAGCGAAGGCAGCUCUUUGGGUCCCUACCAACGCUCGGAUGCGAAAGCAUUGGGAGCGAGCAGGAUUAUAUACCCUGGUAGUCCAUGCUGUAAUUAAUAAGUGUUCGCCCUUGCUCUACGCUGAUCAGGUGCCCAUUGAUCCUGCGAAUCAGUCCGCC
rnacentral:ncRNA from 1 species